rnacentral:rRNA from 1 species
GAUGAACGCUGGCGGCGUGCCUAAUACAUGCAAGUCGAGCGAACGGACGAGAAGCUUGCUUCUCUAAUGUUAGCGGCGGACGGGUGAGUAACACGUGGAUAACCUACCUAUAAGACUGGGAUAACUUCGGGAAACCGUAGCUAAUACCGGAUAAUAUUUUGAACCGCAUGGUUCAAAAGUGAAAGACGGUCUUGCUGUCACUUAUAGAUGGAUCCGCGCUGCAUUAGCUAGUUGGUAAGGUAACGGCUUACCAAGGCAACGAUGCAUAGCCGACCUGAGAGGGUGAUCGGCCACACUGGAACUGAGACACGGUCCAGACUCCUACGGGAGGCAGCAGUAGGGAAUCUUCCGCAAUGGGCGAAAGCCUGACGGAGCAACGCCGCGUGAGUGAUGAAGGUCUUCGGAUCGUAAAACUCUGUUAUUAGGGAAGAACAUAUUUGUAAGUAACUGUGCACAUCUUGACGGUACCUAAUCAGAAAGCCACGGCUAACUACGUG